rnacentral:rRNA from 1 species
AUUGAACGCUGGCGGCAUGCCUUACACACGCAAGUCGAACGGCAGCACGGGAGCAAUCCUGGUGGCGAGUGGCGAACGGGUGAGUAAUAUAUCGGAACGUGCCCAGUCGUGGGGGAUAACGUAGCGAAAGCUACGCUAAUACCGCAUACGAUCUACGGAUGAAAGCGGGGGAUCGCAAGACCUCGCGCGAUUGGAGCGGCCGAUAUCAGAUUAGGUAGUUGGUGAGGUAAAGGCUCACCAAGCCGACGAUCUGUAGCUGGUCUGAGAGGACGACCAGCCACACUGGGACUGAGACACGGCCCAGACUCCUACGGGAGGCAGCAGUGGGGAAUUUUGGACAAUGGGCGCAAGCCUGAUCCAGCAAUGCCGCGUGCAGGAUGAAGGCCUCGGUUGGUAACUAGCUUUGUUACGGUAAC